CCUACGGGAGGCUGCAGUGGGGAAUAUUGGACAAUGGGCGAAAGCCUGAUCCAGCCAUGCCGCGUGUGUGAAGAAGGCCUUCGGGUUGUAAAGCACUUUCAGUGGGGAAGAAAGCCUUGGGGCUAAUACCCUCGAGGAAGGACAUCACCCACAGAAGAAGCACCGGCUAACUCCGUGCCAGCAGCCGCGGUAAUACGGAGGGUGCGAGCGUUAAUCGGAAUUACUGGGCGUAAAGCGCGCGUAGGCGGUCUGAUAAGCCGGUUGUGAAAGCCCCGGGCCCAACCUGGGAACGGCAUCCGGAACUGUCAGGCUAGAGUGCAGGAGAGGAAGGUAGAAUUCCCGGUGUAGCAGUGAAAUGCGUAGAGAUCGGGAGGAAUACCAGUGGCGAAGGCGGCCUUCUGGACUGACACUGACGCUGAGGUGCGAAAGCGUGGGUAGCAAACAGGAUUAGAUACCCUAGUAGUC
rnacentral:rRNA from 1 species